AUUGAACGCUGGCGGCAGGCCUAACACAUGCGAGUCGAGCGGAUGAAGGGAGCUUGCUCCUGGAUUCAGCGGCGGACGGGUGAGUAAUGCCUAGGAAUCUGCCUGGUAGUGGGGGACAACGUCCGGAAACGGGCGCUAAUACCGCAUACGUCCUGAGGGAGAAGGUGGGGGAUCUUCGGACCUCACGCUAUCAGAUGAGCCUAGGUCGGAUUAGCUAGUUGGUGGGGUAAAGGCCUACCAAGGCGACGAUCCGUAACUGGUCUGAGAGGAUGAUCAGUCACACUGGAACUGAGACACGGUCCAGACUCCUACGGGAGGCAGCAGUGGGGAAUAUUGGACAAUGGGCGAAAGCCUGAUCCAGCCAUGCCGCGUGUGUGAAGAAGGUCUUCGGAUUGUAAAGCACUUUAAGUUGGGAGGAAGGGCAGUAAGUUAAUACCUUGCUGUUUUGACGUUACCAACAGAAUAAGCACCGGCUAACUUCGUG
rnacentral:rRNA from 1 species